rnacentral:rRNA from 1 species
UACGUAGGUGGCAAGCGUUAUCCGGAUUUACUGGGUGUAAAGGGCGUGUAGGCGGGUUUGCAAGUCGGAUGUGAAAUUCCCAGGCUUAACUUGGGCGGGUCAUCCGAAACUGCGAAUCUUGAGUACUGGAGAGGAUAGUGGAAUUCCUAGUGUAGCGGUAAAAUGCGUAGAUAUUAGGAGGAACACCAGUGGCGAAGGCGGCUAUCUGGACAGUAACUGACGCUGAGGCGCGAAAGCGUGGGGAGCAAACAGG